rnacentral:rRNA from 1 species
GACGAACGCUGGCGGCGUGCUUAACACAUGCAAGUCGAGCGGAAAGGCCCUGCUUUUGUGGGGUGCUCGAGUGGCGAACGGGUGAGUAACACGUGAGUAACCUGCCCUUGACUUUGGGAUAACUUCAGGAAACUGGGGCUAAUACCGGAUAGGAUCUCCUGCUGCAUGGUGGGGGUUGGAAAGUUUCGGCGGUUGGGGAUGGACUCGCGGCUUAUCAGCUUGUUGGUGGGGUAGUGGCUUACCAAGGCUUUGACGGGUAGCCGGCCUGAGAGGGUGACCGGCCACAUUGGGACUGAGAUACGGCCCAGACUCCUACGGGAGGCAGCAGUGGGGAAUAUUGCACAAUGGGCGGAGGCCUGAUGCAGCAACGCCGCGUGCGGGAUGACGGCCUUCGGGUUGUAAACCGCUUUCGCCUGUGACGAAGCGUGAGUGACGGUAAUGGGUAAAGAAGCACCGGCUAACUACGUG